rnacentral:rRNA from 1 species
AUGGACGGCGUCGCUGUGCCCCAUCAGGAAACUAAUCCUCAUGCUAUCCCAGAUCCACAUCUCACUUCUUUUCUCCUGAUUUUUCUUCCUUGGUGGUGGCGCAUGUGGCUGGGUGAGUGCGUGGAUCUCGGCGACCUCGUCGACUCUAGCAACGCGGUCAUGGAGAUGUCCAGGGAGAACGUGGGCUGCACUGGUCAAAGUUGUCAGAGCUGGAGGCCCUGGAUGUUGGGGUUGAGGAGGCAUCGAGGGAGGUGGCGGAGGAAGAAAUAUCAGCAAGACGUGAGUAUCUUCUGCGAAUGGCGGUUAAUUCUUGCCCUCCUGCUAUCCGGACUUCUACCAAAUGUUGAGCAGAAGCUCGCUUGUUCAAUUUUCUCAGAAUUGUCGCGCCAGGCAAAGCUAUCGGUAUGUACGACAGUAGAAAGGUCGGUGAUAUGCUUACAUCCUCUUCUGCAAUUAUUUAAGUUACAAAAGCAAGUUGGGCGUGGCUUCGUCGUGCAUUGA